rnacentral:rRNA from 1 species
UACGUAGGGGGCAAGCGUUGUCCGGAUUUAUUGGGCGUAAAGAGCGUGUAGGCGGCCUGUUGCGUCUGCCGUGAAAGUCCGGGGCUCAACUCCGGAUCUGCGGUGGGUACGGGCAGACUAGAGUGAUGUAGGGGAGACUGGAAUUCCUGGUGUAGCGGUGAAAUGCGCAGAUAUCAGGAGGAACACCGAUGGCGAAGGCAGGUCUCUGGGCAUUAACUGACGCUGAGGAGCGAAAGCAUGGGGAGCGAACAGG